rnacentral:rRNA from 1 species
UGCAGUCGAGCGAAUCUGAGGGAGCUUGCUCCCAAAGAUUAGCGGCGGACGGGUGAGUAACACGUGGGCAACCUGCCUGUAAGACUGGGAUAACUCCGGGAAACCGGGGCUAAUACCGGAUAAUUCAUUCCCUCUCAUGAGGGAAUGCUGAAAGACGGUUUCGGCUGUCACUUACAGAUGGGCCCGCGGCGCAUUAGCUAGUUGGUGAGGUAACGGCUCACCAAGGCCACGAUGCGUAGCCGACCUGAGAGGGUGAUCGGCCACACUGGGACUGAGACACGGCCCAGACUCCUACGGGAGGCAGCAGUAGGGAAUCUUCCGCAAUGGACGAAAGUCUGACGGAGCAACGCCGCGUGAGCGAUGAAGGCCUUCGGGUCGUAAAGCUCUGUUGUUAGGGAAGAACAAGUACCGGAGUAACUGCCGGUACCUUGACGGUACCUAACCAGAAAGCCACGGCUAACUACGUGCCAGCAGCCGCGGUAAUACGUAGGUGGCAAGCGUUGUCCGGAAUUAUUGGGCGUAAAGCGCGCGCAGGCGGUCCUUUAAGUCUGAUGUGAAAGCCCACGGCUCAACCGUGGAGGGUCAUUGGAAACUGGGGGACUUGAGUGCAGAAGAGGAGAGUGGAAUUCCACGUGUAGCGGUGAAAUGCGUAGAGAUGUGGAGGAACACCAGUGGCGAAGGCGACUCUCUGGUCUGUAACUGACGCUGAGGCGCG